rnacentral:rRNA from 1 species
GGACCCGCACAAGUAGUGGAGCAUGUGGUUUAAUUCGAAGAUACGCGCAGAACCUUACCAACACUUGACAUGUUCGUCGCGACUUUAAGAGAUUAAAGUUUUCGGUUCGGCCGGACGAAACACAGGUGCUGCAUGGCUGUCGUCAGCUCGUGUCGUGAGAUGUUGGGUUAAGUCCCGCAACGAGCGCAACCCUCACUUUUAGUUGCCAUCAUUUAGUUGGGCACUCUGAAAGAACUGCCAGUGAUAAGCUGGAGGAAGGUGGGGAUGACGUCAAGUCCUCAUGGCCCUUACGUGUUGGGCUACACACGUGCUACAAUGGUAUCUACAACAGGAAGCAAAACGGCAACGUUAAGCAAAUCCUAAAAAGAUAUCUCAGUUCGGAUUGCACUCUGCAACUCGAGUGCAUGAAGCUGGAAUUACUAGUAAUCG